rnacentral:rRNA from 1 species
GACGAACCGUCCUAACGUUGUUCGGAAUCACUGGGCUUAAAGGGCGCGUAGGCGGGCCAUCAAGUCCGGGGUGAAAUACUUCGGCUUAACCGGAGAAUUGCCUUGGAUACUGGUGGUCUAGAGGGAGGUAGGGGUCUGUGGAACUUCCGGUGGAGCGGUGAAAUGCGCAGAUAUCAGGAAGAACACCCGUGGCGAAGGCGGCUCUCUGGGACGGUACUGACGCUGAGACGCGAAAGCGUGGGGAGCGAACAGG